UGAUGUUUUUAAUAUAUAGUGAAAGUGAACUUAAAAAAAAUGAUUAAAGGUCUUGGGGCCAAAAAAAAAUCUCAACCUAUUUUCAAACUUGAAAUGGGUAAGAAGCACAGCUCUGUGGUGUGGAGCCAGGUGUGGAUUGCAAGUGCCCAGUGGGCCACUCUUGGUAAGCAGAACUGGUGCUGUGGGAUGAACCACACAUCGAGUUAAGGUGCCCUCUGCCAACGCUCAUCAGACCCUAGAAAUGGUCUGGGUAAAAUGAGUGGAUUAAAAAUGAUGUUAAAAAUAUCUCAUAUAUUAUUUUUCAUUACUUUUUAGCAGGAG
rnacentral:ncRNA from 1 species